rnacentral:rRNA from 1 species
AUUGAACGCUGGCGGCAGGCCUAACACAUGCAAGUCGAACGAGUGGCGGACGGGUGAGUCAUGUCUGGGAAACUGCCUGAUGGAGGGGGAUAACUACUGGAAACGGUAGCUAAUACCGCAUACCAUCAGAUGUGCCCAGAUGGGAUUAGCUUGUUGGUGGGGUAACGGCUCACCUAGGCGACGAUCCCUAGCUGGUCUGCGAGGUUGACCAGCCACACUGGAACUGAGACACGGUCCAGACUCCUACGGGAGGCAGCAGUGGGGAAUAUUGCACAAUGGGCGCAAGCCUGAUACAGCCAUGCCGCGUGUAUGAAGAAGGCCUUCGGGUUGUAAAGCACUUUCAGCGAGGAGGCGUUACUCGCAGAAGAAGCACCGGCUAACUCCGUGCCAGCAGCCGCGGUAAUUC